rnacentral:ncRNA from 1 species
AAUAAAUUUUUUAUGGUUUAGAAAAUUUAUUUUAAAUUUAUUUUACAUAUAAAUUUUAGUGUUAAAUUUUAAUUAUUUUAAUAAUAAUAAAAAUAUUUUUUAUAGUAAUUAAUAUUAAAAAUUUAAGAAAUUAAGAUUUAGUAAUAUAUAAAUUAUUAACAAAUUUUGUGCCAGCAGUUGCGGUUAUACAAAAAUUAAAUUGAAUUUUAUUGGUAAUUAAUAAAUAAUAUUUAUUUAAAAUAUAUUAAAAAUUUUAAAUUAUUAGGUGAAAUUUUAAUUUAAUAUAAAUUUAUAAAAAAUUAUGAUUUAAUAAAUUUUAUAAAAAACUAGGAUUAGAUACCCUACUAUUAAAAUUUAAAUUUAAAAUACCUAAAUAGUAGAUAAUGAUUUAUUGAAACUUAAAUAAUUUGGCGGUAUUUUAGUUCAUUUAGAGGAAUCUGUUUAAUAAUUGAUAAUCCACGAAUAAAUUUACUUAAUUUUUUUUUUGUAUAUCGUUGUUAAAAAAAUAUUUUUUAAUAAAAAUAAUAUUUUAAUUUUUUUAUUAAAAAUUAAAUCAGAUCAAGAUGCAGAUAAUAAUUAAGAAUAUAAUGGAUUACAAUAAAUUAAUUUAAAUGAAUAAUAAUUUGUAAUUAUUAUUAGAAGGUGGAUUUAAAUGUAAUUUUAUUUAAUUUAUUAAAAUGAUUAAAAAUUGAAAUAUGUACAUAUUGCCCGUCGCUUUCAUAUAAAUAAAGUUGAAAUAAGUCGUAACAAAGUAGAGGUACUGGAAAGUGUUUCUAGAAAGAC